AUUGAACGCUGGCGGCAGGCCUAACACAUGCAAGUCGAGCGAGCGGCGGACGGGUGAGUAAUGUAUGGGGACUGCCCGAUAGAGGGGGAUAACUACUGGAAACGGUAGCUACUACCGCCUAUUAUCGGAUAACCCAUAUGGGAUUCCCUAGUAGGUGAGGUAAUGGCUCACCUAGGCGACGAUCCCUAGCUGGUCUGAGAGGAUGAUCGGACAGACUGGGACUGAGACACGGCCCAGACGCCGACGGAGGCAGCAGUGGGGAAUAUUGCCCAAUGGGCGCAAGCCUGAUGCAGCCAUGCCGCGUGUAUGAGGAAGGCCCUAGGGUUGUAAAGUACUUUCAGUCGGGAGGCGUUACCGACAGAAGAAGCACCGGCUAACUCCGUGCCAGCAGCCGCGGUAAUAC
rnacentral:rRNA from 1 species